CCGACUUCCUCGACAGAUUGAACGUUUUCUAAUCCGACCAGGGUUGCCAGAUCCGUCAGAAACAAGUAAUCGCCCCAACAAGGCGGGGUGUGUUUAAAACCACGACCUCUGUUCACCUUUUAAUGGGAUUAUAUGGAAAUGUCCCCCUGAAGAUGUGUGUGAGGCAAGAAGGCUGACAAGAUUCAGAAAAGGGGACGAGGAGGACAGUAACUCGGUGUGUUUGACUUUUGAGGGGCAGUUGCCGGAAAGAGUGGAUCUAGAUUAUGUGUGUUACAGGGCGAGGCCGUAUGAGAGAGCUCCUCUCAGGUGUUUCUGCAGGACGAAGAGGAGGCAGGAGAUGUGGGAAGGAUUGACUGUAAUGUGGAGAAAGAGCAAGCAAAGUGUCUGCACUGCGUACGGGAUCAGCACAGAGCCCAGAAAGAAUUAAGGAAGUAAAAAUGAAUAAGAUCAGAGCAGAAAAGGGAAAGUCAUACGCUGAAGCUGCUAAGAGGAUGGAGAGGAACGGUGAAAUGGUGGCAGUGCAAAAGGAAACGGAGAUGAUCAGAGCAUCAGUAUGGACAAGAAACGAUUUCUGGCAUUUAUUGCCAUGGUUAUAAACUGUGCUGCUGAAAUAAAGGGGAGGAUAAAUAAAGGAUUAAGAUGGUGCUGGAAGCUGCAAGAUGAUUCUUGAAUGUUGUGGACAUUUCUGGAGAGGAUCUGGAUGUUACAUUGAGGGAAGGAGCUGCACAGACUCAGACAACUGGGUCUGGGGUUGUAGAACGGACACGAGUGGGAGCACUUUGGGUGGUCGCAGUAAAUAGUUUACACUGUGAAGCUGUUGCAAUCCAGCACUUGGCGGUGACGCAACACUUAUGGAUGCCGACCGCCAUAAAACUCAACAGAAGAAGAUUUUCUCGAUUAAUCGUUUAAAUCAGUCUGUAAAAUGUCAGAAAAUAGUGGAAAAUCAUCAGCAUCACAAUUUACGACAGCCCAAAUUGACAUCUUUAGAUAUUGACUGUCUGUUUUGUCCAACUAAUAGUCCAAAAAUAUUCAGUUCACUAUUUAUUUAUUUAAAAGACAAACGCGUAUUUUACUAGUCGGACAUGGCAACCCUGAAUCCAAACAACGCAACUUCCGUUUGGCCGAUCCGCGCGCUCAGUGACUGCAGUUAUUAUGAAAUGAUCAACCUGUUUUACUGUUCAAAAUAUAUUUUAAUUGAUUCUUUUAAUUGAUUAUUCCUUUGACACGUUGUGUUACCUCUGUGGUUUGUAGAUGAACUGUGUGCACUGGUUUCUCAGUUCUUACUUUAUUUCUCUAAUUAUCUUUUUUUUGACUGAAAUUUGUUCUUUGCUGCUUGUUAUUUUGGUCUUAUUUGACAAUGGGUGUCUGUAAAUUUAAGGAAAGCCAAUUUAUAAACUGAAAACAAUUUCAUUGCCAUAUAGAUGGUUUAACACCUAGCACUAAAGAAAACUGAAAUGUAAAAAUAUUAAAGUGCACUAGUAAACAUUUUCAGGACCUCUAAAAUGUACACCCAUUUGUUCUGUACCACGUUAUUUAAAAUGCUAAUCUUAAAUUCACGAUAAGGAGCGUCACAGACCGAGUCCAUGAUCCAAAAUUAUACAUAUUUACAAGAAAUUCAAUUGGCCGACAAAAUCAAAUUACACAACCCCCGGAUCAAAGUCAAUAACUUUAUUAGAAAAAUAGGUUUAACUCACCUCACUGUACAGUAUAAAACAAUUCAUUUGCAAAAAUGCAAACACACUUGUUAGCAAAAAAAACAAAAAAAAACAAAUACAAAAAAAAAAAAAAUCAUUCUUGACCCUUAAAAUUGGCGAUCCAACAGAGUCAAUACUAGUGUGAAAAAAAGUAAUCAGGCUCUUUCAUAAAUCUGGUAAAAAGAGAAAGAACAAGCUGCACAAUCCUGUCCGAACUGGAAGAAUGCUAAACACCGCGUUUCGUGGCAAGUGUCAGAAUAGGCUAAAAGACGCACUAAAGGCUGGAGAAAUCCAACCUCAGAAGCUGCUUCGCCAUUAAAAACCACGUACGUCUGUGAUGUACAAUGCAUUGAAAAAGUUACUUUGUGACGAAGUAAACUCAAACUGCUUUAUUCUGUUAUUUCCUACAAUUCCCAGAAUGCCUUUCACCACCCCCAAUAAAGAGUUAGGGUUAUAUAUAAAACAGCUAUAUAGCCAUGGCCACAUCCCGUACUUAAAAUUCAAACAUCUCGUGGAUGUGCUGCAUUAUGUGGGUGUAGAAAUUGAUGUCUGUGCAACUGAUUUCUUCCCCGUGUGAUUGCUAAACACUGGUGCAAAUUGGGAGAGUUUAAAAAAAUACUCCACGCACUAGGACUUUGGGAUAACACCCACCAAAAACCUGACUGUAAAUAUCUCACAUCAUUGAAAGGACAAGUCUGGUUAAACGCUAUAAUUUUGUUGUCAACAAAUUCCAUAAAAAGCCCAAAACCAGCAGUGAACGUCUCUGCUAACAAGUGUUGUGUGAAUCACAGCCUGAUGGAUCUUCUUACUCACUAGUGGAUUCAUCCGCUGCUGAAAAUAGUCCCCAACAAAUGCACUAUUUCCUCCUGUUAGUCUGAUAAAAACUACAGCGAGCAGCUGUUUGAGGAAACUACUGAGCCUUUUUUUUUUAUAAAAGAAAUAAAACUACAUAUUUGUGAGGUGUUUUUAAAGAUUUGCAUCUUUACUAGGAAACAAUGUUAUUGGCGCUGAGAGCCACAGACAGGAAGUCAGAGACAAACUAACACUAUUGGUUUUGGUCUUUUCAUUAAAUUUGUUGACAAUAAGAAAAAACAGAAUAACGUCCGACUGAUCCUUUACGUUUUAUACUGGCUGUGUUUCACAUUCAAGGUGAAUUUGUCUUUUUUUCUAUUAGCUAAGAAGCACAACGGAAAACGCUCACUGAGAAACUCAAGCUAUUGAAGCUGUUGGAAGUGUUGUGGGUAGUAACUUGUGUGGCCGCAUCUCUAACAGCACUCUGCAGGUAAAUUAUUACACACCCUGUAAAACAAGAUGUGCCCAAAAAUGCCAAGGUACAUCACCAACGCCUGUUAUUUCCCACAACGUUCGAAUAUGUUAGGAUGGGUCUGCUCCUUUAAACUCUUAACAUUUUGACUUCCAGUAUAAUGUGUACACAGAUAGUGAAAAUACAUGAAUUAACACCAGUUUACUCUAACCAGGACCACAUAUACGGUGUGAUAAUCAGUCUACAGUGACAUACAAUGUGAAAUGUAUAAUCAUGCUUUUGCAAUGAAAACUUUUUCCAUGCCAUGUUUAGUUUGAUUCCUAAACUUUUCAGGACACGGAAAUAAACUCACAUUCUUCCAGACCUGCUUAGAAACCCUAAAAUAAAAAGCAGCUUCAAUAGAUGUCAGUGAACAUUCACGUUGUGAACGAACACAGAUGUGUGUGCAGAGCCGACAGCCUGAGACAUUACUUUGCAAACAUCCUUACAUCCAUGGGUACAAACAAAACAAAAAACAAAAAAAAAAAAAGACUGUUUUCCCAUUGUGGAAGACAAAGGAUGACAGGGUUGCAGGCAUUUAAGAAUUUACAGUCAUAAAAACAAUUUCUGCGUGUAAACUACAUCAUCACUCAGUUCAUUUCAAGACAGCAAAGCUUGUUCAGGCUCAUUUCAGAAGGAUCAGCUAACGUGCUAACAGUAGCUGUAGCCUACGUCAAGUCUCGACUGAAAACUAAAAAUUCAUUAAGUGUUCUGUUGCUGCCUGUGCAUAUCUCUGAGGUGGAAGGGUGGGGGUCGAACCCUGCCUCAGUUUCCUCAAGUACAAAACGGGGCAGAGCAGGCGAGUCCUUGAAACGGAGGUAGUUAACGGACCCAUGGUGGCUUAGGCUCUUAAAGCACCAUUUUCCUGGAAUGCCCGACCUUCAACACCGGGUGAUCACACCUCAACGCCAUCGCUGAGAAUCAUAGAUUAUCGUGUCUAGUCCAUCACAAAAGAUGUAGUUUAAGAGCACAAAGAAAAAAAAAAAAAAAAAAUUAGCAUCAAGUUCCACUAAA